rnacentral:tRNA from 1 species
ACCCAGAUGGCAUAGUCGGAAGAGCAUAUGACUUUUGAUCUUGGGGUUGUGAGUUAGAGCCCCACUUUGGGUG